rnacentral:tRNA from 1 species
GGGACCGUCGUAUAAUGGCUAUUAUAUCUGCCCUUUAAGCAGAAAGAUGAGGGUUCGAGUCCGCUCCGGUCCCACCA